GUCAAUGGCCAUAUGACUCUGAACACGCCCGAUCUCGUCUGAUCUCAGAAGCUUAAGCAGGGUCGAGCCUGGUUAGUACUUGGAUGGGAGAAAAUCACUUUCUAUUUUUAAGUCGGCAAAUUAGACACUAUUUAAA
ensembl:rRNA 5S_rRNA 5S ribosomal RNA